rnacentral:lncRNA from 1 species
GAGAUUUGGGCAUGUGGAGAAUAAUGGGACAGGAGAUGACGGUAAUGAAUUAAAACAGAAUGGAAUGGAAUGGAAUGGAAAGCCUAGCGCAGGGCUUGGUUUGGAAGAAGACGGUCCAGUAUUAUAGCAGGAAAAAGGAAGACUCUCAUCUUUGCCUCGGUGACAAAGCUAUGUAUGACAUUACUCAAAAUCUCAAGGAUGCACCUCCAACAAAACAAUUCUUACAUGGAAUCCUAGAGUCUUUGGAACAUGGUUUGAACACCACCAGCUUUGAGAAGGAAGAGAAAAUCCAGAAGUCAGAAGUGGACCAUGUUGAUCAGGAUCCUACACCUUCCAGGCUUGAGAGCUCUCCAAAGACAGAUCAUACUUUUCUAAGCACUCCGUAUAUUGGACAUAAAGAAAUGCUGAAGGUAAUCAGAGAUUAA